AGCAGCAGGCGCGCAAAUUACCCACUCCCGGCACGGGGAGGUAGUGACGAAAAAUAACGAUACGGGACUCAUCCGAGGCCCCGUAAUCGGAAUGAGAACACUUUAAACCCUUUAACGAGUAUCCAUUGGAGGGCAAGUCUGGUGCCAGCAGCCGCGGUAAUUCCAGCUCCAAUAGCGUAUAUUAAAGUUGUUGCGGUUAAAAAGCUCGUAGUUGGAUCUGUGUCCCACGCUGUCGGUUCACCGUUCGUCGGUGUUUAACUGGCAUGCCCGUGCGGACGUCCUGCCGGUGGAUGCGGUCGGCCGCGGGGCCUCCAGGGGUCCCGCGCGUCGGCGGUCCGAUUCAAUCCUACCGCGGUGCUCUUCACCGAGUGUCGAGGUGGGCCGGCACGUUUACUUUGAACAAAUUAGAGUGCUCAAAGCAGGCAGUGGUUCGCCUGAAUAUUGUGUGCAUGGAAUAAUGGAAUAGGACCUCGGUUCUAUUUUGUUGGUUUUCGGAACUUGAGGUAAUGAUUAAUAGGGACAAACGGAGGCAUCCGUAUUGCGACGUUAGAGGUGAAAUUCUUGGAUCGUCGCAAGACGAACUUAAGCGAAAGCAUUUGCCGAGCGUGUUUUCACUAAUCAAGAACGAAAGUUAGAGGUUCGAAGGCGAUCAGAUACCGCCCUAGUUCUAACCAUAAACGAUGCCAGCCAGCGAUCCGUCGAAGUUCCUCCGAUGACUCGGCGGGCAGCUUCCGGGAAACCAAAGCUUUUGGGUUCCGGGGGAAGUAUGGUUGCAAAGCUGAAACUUAAAGGAAUUGACGGAAGGGCACCACCAGGAGUGGAGCCUGCGGCUUAAUUUGACUCAACACGGGAAACCUCACCAGGCCCGGACACCGGAAGGAUUGACAGAUUGAGAGCUCUUUCUUGAUUCGGUGGGUGGUGGUGCAUGGCCGUUCUUAGUUGGUGGAGCGAUUUGUCUGGU
rnacentral:rRNA from 1 species